AAAAUCUUUAUAAAUAAAUCUUUUUUAAAAAAUUGGAAUAAUACAGAGAUGAGCGUGGCCCCUGUGCAAGGAUAAUGCACAAAUCUGUGAAGCGUUCCAUGUUUUU
ensembl:snRNA U6 U6 spliceosomal RNA